rnacentral:lncRNA from 1 species
UGUAUUUACGAUUUUUCUAAGAAAUAGAUAAUAUGUUAUCAGCUUUAUUCAUUAAACAAAAUGAACUAGAUUUACAAUGUGAAAGCAGUCAGGGCUUCUGAACAAGAGGGAGGGAAAGACUAGCAGUAGAGAAAGAAAAAGAAAAAAUAAAUAAAAAAAUGCGGAAAAAAGAAACCAUAAAACAAAAAGAGAGAGGGAGCAAGAAUUAGUAAAAGAGGG